UACGGAGGAGGCAAGCGUUAUUCGGAAUUAUUGGGCGUAAAGGGCGCGUAGGCGGCUAGAUGUGUCAAAGGUGAAAUCCCUCGGCUCAACUGAGGAACUGCCUUUGAAACUGUCUGGCUUGAGGCCGGGAGAGGGUAGCGGAAUUCCCAGUGUAGCGGUGAAAUGCGUAGAUAUCGAGAGGAACACCUGCGGCGAAGGCGGGUUGCUGGGCUGAUACCGACGCUGAGGCGCGAAAGCCAGGGGAGCGAACGGG
rnacentral:rRNA from 1 species